rnacentral:rRNA from 1 species
UACGAAGGGGGCUAGCGUUGCUCGGAAUCACUGGGCGUAAAGCGCACGUAGGCGGAUCUUUAAGUCAGGGGUGAAAUCCCAAGGCUCAACCUUGGAACUGCCUUUGAUACUGGGGAUCUCGAGUCCGGAAGAGGUGAGUGGAACUGCGAGUGUAGAGGUGAAAAUUCGUAGAUAUUCGCAAGAACACCAGUGGCGAAGGCGGCUCACUGGUCCGGUACUGACGCUGAGGUGCGAAAGCGUGGGGAGCAAACAGGG